AUGAACGCUGGCGGCGUGGAUAAGGCAUGCAAGUCAAACGGUUCCGGUUUGCGCAAGCGAACUGGAAUAGUGGCGAACGAGUUAGUAACACGUAGCUACUUUCCCCGAACACGGGCAUAACUCCGAGAAAUCGGAGCUAAUUCCCGAUAGUCCCCGAGCGUAAGCGAGGGGUAAAGGCGUAAGCCGGUACGGGAUAGGGCUGCGGCCUAUCAGCUUGUUGGUAAGGUAAUGGCUUACCAAGGCUAUGACGGGUAGGGGUUGUGAGAGCACGAUCCCCAACGAGGGCACUGAGAUACGGGCCCUACUCCUACGGGAGGCAGCAGUCGAGAAUCUUCGUCAAUGGGCGAAAGCCUGAACAAGCGACGCCGCGUGCUCGAAGAAACAUUGUUGUGUAAAGAGCUUUUCUGGGGGAUUAAUCCCGAUUUAUCGGGAUGACUGUACUCCAGGAAUAAGGGGUCUCUAAACUCGU
rnacentral:rRNA from 1 species